AUGAGGUGGUGGACGCUGUCCUCUCCAGGGAUGAUGUUCACGGAUGCGAUGAUACCCCGGAGGGUUCCUGGUCAAUGGUGCGGCCCAGGAAGAAGAAGUCGGACGCAGAGCUCCUGCAGGAGUUCUGGAAUGACGUGGGAUACCCUACCCCACACCGGCGUCCAGGGUGUGGGAGAAGGGCCGCGGCAGCUCAUCCGGCAAGGAACAAUCAGAUUCUCCUCACGGCCGCCGACGGAGAAUGAGACUACUGCUGGUCCGGUUGCUUCGCCGGAGUUGCCACGGCCGCCGACGGUGCCAGCGCGUCAACGUCGCGGGGUUUGCAUCCGGCCAGGACCGCUCCCGCGCCCCAGGAUAACGCCGCCAGUGGCGCUGGCUGCGUUCCUGCCGGCUUCCCAGACGGGUGCGUCGGCGGCGGCGGUGCAAUCUCCAUCGGAAGAAACGGCCGCGCUUUCAGCGGCAAGCGAUGAUUGCGCUCGCGGUCAAACGAUGGAGCCUCGGUCUUCAACUGCCGGUGAUCGCGCUUCUGUUCGAAUCAUGCAGACUCGGCCUUCGGCCUUGUUGCAGGAUCGUGGGCCCUGCCCGAGCGUGGCCAAUCAGGCCUUGCGGUUGGGCCGUACGAUCAGGAGGGUGGACCUGUUCCAGUACGAGGAGUCGGGAUGCCCUAGCCGUGUCUUUGGUAAUCCACAUCUGCACACCUCGUCAUCUCGGGAUCCGCCACCGCCGGCUGUGGUGGCAGCCCCUGCUGCUCAGAUACAAGAUACAAGAGAUAUCAAUUCCGUAGCUUUGGCCACUGUUGACACAACUGGACAAAUGCCGAAAGGAAAAAGAACUGGUCUAUGGUGUUUCAAAUGCAGAUCAGAUGAUCAUCUUUUCAAAGAUUGCACGGUGGUUCACUAUUGUCAUAUCUGCAACAACCACAAACAUCCUAUGCACCGCUGCCAUGUUCUCAAGCAACCAAGGCCAUGUGCUUUCCUCGGUGUUUGUGGUCUAGUAAACGCAAUGUUCGUACAGCUACCAGACUCGCUCUUCAAGGAGCAUCUUGCACCACGAACUUUGCCGACAGCUUUGGUUACGAUCUCUGGUGGUUCUUUGUCUGCUGCUGUGGUCGAGGUUGAGGUUGCUAAGAUCGCCUUGGUCCAGACUUCGUGGGAGUGGGAAGCCGUCCCUCAUGAAGCCAAUACUUUCUUAGUUUCCUUCCCGUCUGUCGAAAUUUUGCAGCGUGUUACCACUUUUGAGUACAAUGUGAAAUCGCAUGGCGUGAAGAUCGCUUUCAGUGAAUGGAAAGCUGAGGAGCUUCCAUCCGUUCUUCCUUUGCAGUCUGUAUGGGUUCAUGUCACGGGAGUCCCGCCACCACCGCGCCAUUUCCUUGGUCUAUGGGCGGUUGGAUCGGUUAUAGGCGCCACUCAGGACGUUGACUUGGUUUGCUUGCACCGACAUGGUAUAGUGCGAAUCCAGGUGGCUGUUCUUUCCUUGGAUAUUUUCAGCAAAAAGCAUGGGUCUGAUGAAGCCUCAGUCUCCUAUGAUGUUUACGUCAAGCUUAAUGGAUAUGCGUUUCGGUUUGUAUAG
rnacentral:rRNA from 1 species